rnacentral:misc_RNA from 1 species
GCAGCUGUCGAGCCUUGGCGAGGCUGCGUUUGCGGCGCGUCUGACACAACACCAACGCAGCCUCGCCAAGGCUCGACAGCUAC